GCCUAUUUUGGGCUCUCUCCACCUGAAAUUUUCAAAAUCCAAACAUUAACACAUGCAUACGAAAAACACCUCAUAAAAUUAAUAAUUCCAAUAAUAAUAAUAAUAACUUAUUCAAUGUAGAUAUUUGCUUCUACACAACUCACAAAUGCAAAUAAUUCUCAUCUUCUCAUCUCCAAUAGAUAAAAAUGCUAAUAUCCCAAUAAUAUUGGAUAAUUAAAAUAAAAUCUGGAAUUUAAUCGCCUUCUAGCUGCCUCAAUCCAUGUCAUUUUUCCUUUUGGUCAUUUGCUUGUUCUCCUACCACCUAUCACCAAAUCUAGUCUCCCUUCUCCAUAAGUCCUGUUAUUAGUCUCCAGGAACUCCAAUUCACACAAACAAGGCAUCUUAAGCAACUUCACCACAUAAUUAUCAAUCAAUCAACAAUUAAUACUGUCAGCUAAUGUUAAUUGAAUUAAAAAUUACAAUAUUU
rnacentral:misc_RNA from 1 species